rnacentral:tRNA from 1 species
GAGGAUGUAGCUCAGUGGCAGAGCACAUGCCUCGCACACGUGAGGCCCUGGGCUCAAUCCCCGGUACCUCU